rnacentral:lncRNA from 1 species
CACCCGCGGGGAGGGCGGCGAGCGGGGAUCAGCCGAAGUCGGGAGAGGGGCGCUUCCACGGGGCGGGAAACUGGCGCGCGACUCUGGGGGAAGUGCAGGAUGGGGGGACAGGGGCGCUCCCGCGGGGGUGGAUGGGGGACCAUAGCGGGGCUGGCGGGGCAGGGGCCGGCGCACGAGGCUGGAGGAGGGGAGCGCGCGCUUCUACCCGGGCUGGGUCGCCGAGGUCCGCGGCGCAUCGUGGCGGCGGUGGGCGGAGGGGGGCGGGGGGCACCUCUUCUCCCUUGUGGCGCAGGUGGGCGCGCUCUGGACCGGCUUGACGACCCCUCCCCGCCGCCCCACCUCCCUGGCCAAAGGUUCUCAGCUUCUAAUCAGGGACAUUUCUAGUCCACAGCCUCGAAGCCAUGGGUUCUCCCCGGCCCUCUGAAGCCGCCACACCUGUGCCAGCCGGCCGCGUCCUCAGACCUUUCCCCGCGGAGUCUUCCCAGCACUUGGAGACGCAGCGCAGGGCCCCGAGGACGGCCUGGCCCGGAGAAAAGAUACCGAAGCUCCAACUUUCCCCAACCCCGCUCCCCUCCUCCUUCCACCCUCCCUUCCCGCCCCCAAAGCUCGGGGGUCCUAUCCCUCCUCCGGUCCGCGGAGUCUCCCGAACCCUGCGGGGACCCGGCGCUCGGCGGUGCCCUCCUGGGGCGCACGGGGCUGGGGCGGGAGCGAGGAGACCAGGUGGGGAGGGGACCCCAGAUCUCAGACGCCAGGGGAGACGGCGUUUCCCGCUGUUCAUUCAGGUUUGUGCCAAAAGGAGCCUCACAGAUGCAGUAUUGGGUUUGGUAGACUCAAAUCGUCUUGUUUUAAUGUAAAUGAAAUCCUUCGACCCAGGCACGAGCGCCCAUCGCGGAGGCCACGAUGCCCGUUUUAUUCCCUCUCCACGGCAAGGAAAAGCAGCGAAAUCUGAGGUCUUCAGAGGUUAACCCUAUCUAGGAGCAGAAUGUGACGCAUUGUAAACAAAUAAAUAUUGAAAACUCGAUGUUAAACACUUUACUUUUUCUGACUCCGACUUGCUUGACCCCUGAGCAGACCUGGGUUUCGAACACAGACGCC